rnacentral:RNase_P_RNA from 1 species
CGAGUGGGCCAAGCGAUCGCGGACACGGAACGUGUUCGAGGAAAGUCCGAACUCCCCAGAGCACGAUGCUGGAUAACGUCCAGGCGGGGCGACCCGACGGCACAGUGCAACAGAGAAGAGAUUGCCCACCUCCGGCUUGCCGGCGGGCGGGUGAGGGUGAAACGGCGGUGUAAGAGACCACCGGCGGACCGGGCGACCGGGCCGGCCAGGCAAACCCCAUCGGGAGCAAGACCAAGCAAGAGGCGUUUCGGGAAACCGAAACAGGGGCUGCUCGUCCCUUGCCUCGGGUAGGUCGCAGGAGGCGUCCGAGCAAUCGGCGUCCCAGAUAGAUGAUCGCUGGCGCAGCGGAGACGUUGCGCAACAGAAUUCGGCUUAUCGGCCCUCUCGCCGC